AGGCAGAGCUACUGAUGAGCUGCUCAGUGUGGAGAUGAAGCAGGAACCAAGACUGAUGUCAGUGUUGCUUGACUGGUGUGGAGAACUGGAGUCCACCUGCUGGGAUGUGACCAGGCACUUCUGCUCAGCCUGAGUUUGAGGAUGAAAUUUAAACUGUCAAACAUUGAUUACAUG